AUGAAACCCUCCAGCAACAUGUGAAAACGUGUCUGGUAAGAUGUUUCUAAAAUUUGACCUAUAGUUCGGUUUAAUCAGUACUAUUAAGUAAUGCUAGUGAUACAAUUAGUCAGUAACACAUCCACAAGUGUGCUGAUAAAAACCUGUCCCAUACUUGCCAGUUGUCAUGUCAUUGUUGCUUAUAACAUCAUUGAAGCACAGAAUGGAC